rnacentral:misc_RNA from 1 species
CGAUAACAUCUGCAUUCGCUGACUCGCACCACGAUCCCUACAGCGGAAGUUGACUACUUGCUACUCACGCUACAAUAACGGAAGUAGUAUAAGCAGAAGUUUCUGGUUUUAAAAAAAGGCAUGUGGGCUGUGUAUUUUCGCCUAUAGAUCUACUGAACAUCUGUCAGUGUUGCUUCAGUGAUUAUUUAUAUUGGACAGUAUCUACUAAAUGUAUCUUACAGUGUGGAUGUGAUUAUUUAUUUUGCAAAGCUGAAAAAAUAGGUCACGAUCCCAGAAGACAACUAGAAUCUACACACAGAUUUGACACUUGUACAAGCUGUCUCUGAUGGAAAGAAGAUACAAGAAAGUAUGAAAAGCUACACAGAUUUUAAAAUAGCUCUAGUUGCAGGUGCUUGUGCAGGAACAUCAGUGGAUGUGAUCCUCUUCCCACUCGACACCAUCAAGACCCGCCUCCAGAGUCAGCAUGGCUUCAGGAAGGCAGGUGGCUUCAGGGGGAUUUACUCCGGUCUCAUGUCUGCUGCUCUGGGCUCAGCACCAACAGCGGCUUUGUUCUUCUGUUCAUACGAGGCAACCAAGCAUGCCUUCAGCCAGGUGCUGGCUGGUUCAAUGGCGCCCGUUGGACACAUGGCAGCUGCGUCUCUUGGAGAAGUGGCUGCCUGUUUGAUUAGAGUCCCAGUGGAGGUGGUGAAGCAGAGAACGCAGGCCAACCACACCCACUCAUCCCUGCACACUCUCAGGGUCACGCUGGCCUCAGAGUUGAGUGUCUUGGAAUGUCCAAACAGUGCUGGCAGCAGGCAGGGAAGUGAAAGCCUUCAGGAAGGGUUUCCAAGGACUUUACCGGGGCUAUUUCAGCACAGUAGCAAGAGAAGUGCCUUUCUCAUUCAUACAGUUUCCAUUGUGGGAAUAUUUCAAGAUGAAGUGGUCGUCCCACACCGGCCGACCGAUAGAGGCGUGGCAGUCAGCGGUCUGCGGGGCUGCUGCAGGAGGUUUAUCUGCUGGAGUAACAACGCCACUAGACGUAGCGAAAACACGUAUAAUGCUGGCCAAGGCCAACACUGAUGUCGCCAGAGGUGGUAUUGGCCACGCCCUCAGAGUUGUACAUGCAGAGCGAGGAGUUAACGGGUUGUUUGCAGGAAUUACUCCUCGGGUUGCCUGGAUUUCCAUAGGAGGAGCUGUAUUCCUGGGGGUUUAUGAAAAA